rnacentral:sRNA from 1 species
UUGCGUAACUUGCUGCUUGAUUAGCAAUGUUAGCAAUCUUUCGUCGCGACUGUAGGCGUAAUCUUUACCUCAGUUUCACGGCCCGGACGACACGUCCACCCGGCUCGCCCAAUCAGGAGAGCUGGCGCCGCCGACCCUACCGGGUCGUCACGGCACCCGGGUCCGCACUGCCCAACCAGGCGGGCGAGGAAAGCGGCGACAGAAUUGCCAGCACAGGACAUCUACGAAAAGGGGAGGCCGAGAGGUCUCCCC